AGUCAGAGUCUGCUACGUCAGAGUGAUGCUGCUCACCUUGGCGGAUGAACACUCUCACUCUCACACAAAGACACCUGGAUAUUGUGGGUUGUAAUCCCCGAACGUUCCUCCUCUCAUCCAGACCAGAGGAUUAUAAACACACACGCGUGUGAAGAGAGCUCAAUCUCAAUUAUUGUGGUUGGCCCACACUCCAUUUGGGUAGGAUCCCAGCAGUGAUGUUUUGCUGAGCAAGUGCCACAGGUAAUCUGCAAACCAGAGUUGGGCAUCGAGAGAGAGAAAGAGAGAGAGAGUAAGAGAGAUACAGAGGCACUACUUCUAGACAUGAAGAAAAUCUGGUCCAAGAAGAGAUUCCAGAGGACAGGACACUCCACCAAGACGUUUGGAAGGUUCACCCAUGACUCUGAAACCACAGAGGAUGAAGCCACGGAGCCCCAGGUCCCAAUUGAAACCAAGGAAGGACCUGGCGGACGGCACCAGGACAAGGCUGGCCGUAGAGUGCCUGCAGGUAAUUCACUUAAUUCAUUAACUUGAGCAUGAUCUGUGAUUUAGAGGCCCGUCCUUAAUCAAGUCUGUAAAUCGGGUUUCCCGGGAUUAGGACAUAAGCAUAAUUCUUCCGGCACUAAGUAAAUUAAUGUGUUUGCAUGGCUUUAACGUGACUGUCGGUUAUGGCACUAUGUGUAUGUUGGCAUAAGCCCUACUCGUUGGAUGAAACGUAUAUAUGAUGUGACAGACUCCUUUAAUCCUUCACGCUAUGAUGUAAUGGUGUGAC
rnacentral:lncRNA from 1 species